rnacentral:rRNA from 1 species
CCUACGGGUGGCAGCAGUGGGGAAUAUUGCGCAAUGGGCGAAAGCCUGACGCAGCCACGCCGCGUGAGUGAUGAAGGCCUUCGGGUUGUAAAGCUCUGUCGGGAGGGACGAAAGGCGUAAGCCUUGACGGUACCUCGCAAGAAAGCACCGGCUAACUCUGUGCCAGCAGCCGCGGUAAUACAGAGGGUGCAAGCGUUGCUCGGAUUUACUGGGCGUAAAGCGUACGCAGACGGUAAGGAAGGUCGGAUGUGAAAGCCCCGGGCUCAACCCUGGAACUGCAUUCGAAACCCCUUGCUAGAGUAUGGGAGAGGGAAGCGGAAUUCCUGGUGUAGAGGUGAAAUUCGUAGAUAUCAGGAGGAACACCGGCGGCGAAGGCGGCUUCCUGGCCCAUUACUGACGUUCAGGUACGAAAGCGUGGGUAGCAAACAGGAUUAGAUACC